rnacentral:misc_RNA from 1 species
GAUGAAGGACGUAGCGAAAUGCGAUAAGUAAUGUGAAUUGCAGAAUUCAGUGAAUCAUCGAAUCUUUGAACGCACAUUGCGCCCCCUGGUAUUCCGGGGGGCAUGCCUGUUCGAGCGUCAUUUCACCACUCAAGCCUCGCUUGGUAUUGGGCAACGCGGUCCGCCGCGUGCCUCAAAUCGACCGGCUGGGUCUUCUGUCCCCUAAGCGUUGUGGAAACUAUUCGCUAAAGGGUGUUCGGGAGGCUACGCCGUAAAACAACCCCAUUUCUAAGGUUGACCUCGGAUCAGGUAGGGAUACCCGCUGAACUUAAGCAUAUCAAUAAGCGGAGGA